UGUAGUCAUAUGCUUGUCUCAAAGAUUAAGCCAUGCAUGUCUAAGUACAAGCAAUCUAUACAGUGAAACUGCGAAUGGCUCAUUAAAUCAGUUAUCGUUUAUUUGAUAGUACCUUACUACUUGGAUAACCGUGGUAAUUCUAGAGCUAAUACAUGCUAAAAACCUCGACUUCGGAAGGGGUGUAUUUAUUAGAUAAAAAACCAAUGCCCUUCGGGGCUCCUUGGUGAUUCAUGAUAACUUAACGAAUCGCAUGGCCUUGUGCCGGCGAUGGUUCAUUCAAAUUUCUGCCCUAUCAACUUUCGAUGGUAGGAUAGUGGCCUACCAUGGUUUCAACGGGUAACGGGGAAUUAGGGUUCUAUUCCGGAGAGGGAGCCUGAGAAACGGCUACCACAUCCAAGGAAGGCAGCAGGCGCGCAAAUUACCCAAUCCCGACACGGGGAGGUAGUGACAAUAAAUACUGAUACAGGGCUCUUUUGGGUCUUGUAAUUGGAAUGAGUACAAUUUAAAUCCCUUAACGAGGAACAAUUGGAGGGCAAGUCUGGUAAUCG
rnacentral:rRNA from 1 species